AGUAACGGAGAAUCAGGGUUCGAUUCCGGAGAAGGAGCUUGAGAAUUGGCUACUACAUCUAAGGAAGGCAGCAGGCGCGCAAAUUACCCAAUCCCGAUUCGGGGAGGUAGUGACAAAAAAUAACAAUACCGGGCCUUUUUGGGCUUGGUAAUUGGAAUGAGGGAGAGUUAAACGGACCAUCGAGUAUCCAUUGGAGGGCAAGUCUGGUGCCAGCAGCUGCGGUAAUACCAGCUCCAAUAGCGUAUAUUAAAGUUGUUGCAGUUAAAAAGCUCGUAGUUGGACUUGUGUGCGCUGUCCGCGGGUGGCCUGCGCCCAAAAGGGCGUUUCGGUUCGACCCCGGUGGCGCCUUGAAAUCUGCAGCUGGGGGGACGUUGGCCUUAACUGGUCGGCGACCGCACGCCGGCUGCUCGGUUACUGUGAGAAAAUUAGAGUGUUCAAGGCAGGCAUUGGGUGCAAUUGAAUACAUUAGCAUGGAAUAAUAAAAUAUGGCUCCUGCCGUAUUUUGUUGGUUUUGACUGGUGGGAGUAAUGAUUGAUAGGGACGGUUGGGGGUGCUAGUAUUGAGCGGCCAGAGGUGAAAUUCAUGGAUUCGCUCAAGACUAACUUAUGCGAAAGCAUUCACCAAGGACGUCCUCUUUAAUCAAGAACGAAAGUUGGGGGAUCGAAGACGAUCAGAUACCGUCGUAGUCUCAACCAUAAACUAUGUCGACUUGGGAUCGGCGGUAGUUUUUUCAUUAAGACACUGUCGGGACCACGGGAGAAAUCAAAGUGUCUGGACUCUGGGGGAAGUAUGGUCGCAAGGCUGAAACUUGAAAGAAUUGACGGAAGGGCACCACCAGGAGUGGAGCCUGCGGCUUAAUUUGACCCAACACGGGGAAACUUACCAGGUCCAGAGAUGUAGAGGAUUGACAGAUUGAAGCUCUUUCUUGAUCACUUCGGUGGUGGUGCAUGGCCGUUCUUAGUUGGUGGAGUGAUUUGUCUGGUUAAUUCCGUUAACGAUCGAGACCUCAGCCUGCUAGUGUAGUCGGCUGGAUUGCCUUUGGCGAUCCGUGAUUUCGACUUCUUAGAGGGACAAUCGACGCGCAGUCGAUGGAAGUUUGAGGCAAUAACAGGUCUGUGAUGCCCUUAGAUGUUCUGGGCCGCACGCGCGCUACACUGCUGGGCUCAGCGAGUUUUACUUGGCCGAGAGGCCCGGUUAAUCUUGUGAAAUCCCAGCGUGCUUGGGCUCGCCUCCUGCAACUGGAGGCGCCAACGAGGAAUUCCUAGUAGACGCAGGUCAUCAACCUGCAUCGAUUACGUCCCUGCCCUUUGUACACACCGCCCGUCGUUCCAUAAGAGUGAGGCAUCCGGUGAAUUCUCGGGAGAGCCUGGGCGUGGCCAGCAAUGGUCUGCUCGGGUUUGAACUUGCAUAAACUUGGUGCCUAUGAUUAGGGAAAAGUCGUAACAAGGUU
rnacentral:rRNA from 1 species